UCCGUCAGCUGGCUCACCUACCCUUCUGCGUCCCCCCUUCGGUGAUAACGCGGGAACGGUGGUACAGGAAUAUUAACCUGUUUUCCAUCGGUUACGCCCUUCGGCCUCGCCGUAAGCCUAAGGGUUCCUGGGGAAGGUUAAUCCGCCCAGGGUUAGUCGGGUCCUAAGGUGAGGCCGAAGGGCGUAACCGAUGGAAAACAGGUUAAUAUUCCUGUACCACCGUUCCCGCGUUAUCACCGAAGGGGGGACGCAGAAGGGUAGGUGAGCCUGCUGACGGACGUGCUGGUCCAAGCCGGUAGGGGGGCUUCCCAGGCAAAUCCGGGAGGCCGUUAACUCCGAGAGGUGAUGGGGAGGGGCUUUGCCCCGCAAACUCACUGAUCCCACGCUGCCGAGAAAAGCCUCGUAGGGAGUUGGAAUGGUGUCCGUACCGCAAACCGGCACAGGUGGGCAAGGAGAAUAUCCUAAGGCGCUCGAGUGAUCCCUCGUUAAGGAACUCGGCCAAUUACCCCCGUAACUUCGGGAUAAGGGGGGCCCUUUGGGGUGAGGAGACUUGCUCUCCGAGCUUCAGGGGGCCGCAGAGAAAUGGCCGCGGCGACUGUUUACUAAAAACACAGGACUCUGCUAAGUCGUGAAGACGACGUAUAGGGUCUGACGCCUGCCCGGUGCCGGAAGGUUAAGGGGCGAUGUCAGGGGGGCAACCCCCGAAGCUUCAAACCGAAGCCCCGGUAAACGGCGGCCGUAACUAUAACGGUCCUAAGGUAGCGAAAUUCCUUGUCGGGUAAGUUCCGACCUGCACGAAUGGCGUAACGAUCGCGGCACUGUCUCAACGAGGGGCUCGGCGAAUCUGAAAUACCGGUGAAGAUGCCGGUUACCCGCACCUAGACGGAAAGACCCCGUGCACCUUCACUGCAACUUGGCAUUGGAUUUUGGAAUAGCUUGUGUAGCAUAGGUGGGAGGCUUUGAAACCGGGGCGCUAGCUCCGGUGGAGCCAACAGUGAAAUACCACCCUGGUUGUUCCGGAAUUCUAACCUGGGCCCGUAAUCCGGGCCGGGGACAAUGCCUGGUGGGCAGUUUGACUGGGGCGGUCGCCUCCCAAAGAGUAACGGAGGCGCG
rnacentral:misc_RNA from 1 species